AGGGUUUGAUCAUGGCUCAGAACGAACGCUGGCGGCAGGCUUAACACAUGCAAGUCGAACGCAUCCUUCGGGGUGAGUGGCAGACGGGUGAGUAACGCGUGGGAACGUGCCCUUCAGUUCGGGAUAACCCAGGGAAACUUGGGCUAAUACCGGAUACGUGCGAGAGCAGAAAGAUUUAUCGCUGAAGGAUCGGCCCGCGUCUGAUUAGCUAGUUGGUAGGGUAAUGGCCUACCAAGGCGACGAUCGGUAGCUGGUCUGAGAGGAUGAUCAGCCACAUUGGGACUGAGACACGGCCCAAACUCCUACGGGAGGCAGCAGUGGGGAAUAUUGGACAAUGGGCGCAAGCCUGAUCCAGCCAUGCCGCGUGAGUGAUGAAGGCCUUAGGGUUGUAAAGCUCUUUCGUCCGGGACGAUAAUGACGGUACCGGAAGAAGAAGCCCCGGCUAACUUCGUGCCAGCAGCCGCGGUAAUACGAAGGGGGCUAGCGUUGUUCGGAAUCACUGGGCGUAAAGGGCGCGUAGGCGGCUUUGUAAGUCGGGGGUGAAAGCCUGUGGCUCAACCACAGAAUUGCCUUCGAUACUGCAUGGCUUGAGACCGGAAGAGGUAAGUGGAACUGCGAGUGUAGAGGUGAAAUUCGUAGAUAUUCGCAAGAACACCAGUGGCGAAGGCGGCUUACUGGUCCGGUUCUGACGCUGAGGCGCGAAAGCGUGGGGAGCGAACAGGAUUAGAUACCCUGGUAGGCCCCGCCGUAAACCAUGUAUGCCCGCCGUUGUCGAUUUUGCUUCGUCGGU
rnacentral:rRNA from 1 species